rnacentral:tRNA from 1 species
AAGCCCCGGAGCCUUUUCGGGCUCUUUUUCAAACUUGCAAUUUGAUGUGAAACACUUCGAAGCU